UCCGGUGGCCGCAGAGAAUAGGCCCAAGCGACUGUUUACCAAAAACAUAGGUUUCUGCUAAGUCGCAAGACGAUGUAUAGGAGCUGACGCCUGCCCGGUGCUGGAAGGUUAAGGGGAUCUGUUAGAGCAAUCGAAGCAGUGAACUUAAGCCCCAGUAAACGGCGGCCGUAACUAUAACGGUCCUAAGGUAGCGAAAUUCCUUGUCGGGUAAGUUCCGACCCGCACGAAAGGCGUAACGAUUUGGGCACUGUCUCAACAACAGACUCGGUGAAAUUGUAAUUCCGGUGAAGAUGCCGGAUACCUGCGACAGGACGGAAAGACCCCAUGGAGCUUUACUGUAGCUUGACAUUGGGUCUUGGUACUACAUGUACAGGAUAGGUGGGAGGCUUUGAAACCAGGACGCCAGUUUUGG
rnacentral:rRNA from 1 species